rnacentral:rRNA from 1 species
AUACGUAGGUGACAAGCGUUAUCCGGAUUUACUGGGCGUAAAGGGCGUGUAGGCGGUCUUGCAAGUCAGAAGUGAAAUUCCUGAGCUCAACUCGGGCGCUGCUUCUGAAACUGCAGGCCUUGAGUGCUGGAGGGGAUAGCGGAAUUCCUCGUGGAGCGGUAAAAUGCGCAGAUAUUAGGAAGAACACCGGUGGCGAAGGCGGCUAUCUGGACAGUAACUGACGCUGAGGCGCGAAAGCGUGGGGAGCAAACAGGAUUAGAUACCCUGGUAGUCCACACUGUAAACGAUGAAUGCUAGGUGUAAGAGGUAUCGACCCCUUUUGUGCCGGAGUCAACACAAUAAGCAUUCCGCCUGGGGAGUACGGCCGCAAGGUUGAAACUCAAAUGAAUUGGCGGGG